rnacentral:rRNA from 1 species
UAGGGAAUCUUCCGCAAUGGGCGAAAGCCUGACGGAGCAACGCCGCGUGAGUGAUGAAGGUCUUCGGUUCGUAAAACUCUGUUAUUAGGGAAGAACAAAUGUGUAAGUAACUAUGCACGUCUUGACGGUACCUAAUCAGAAAGCCACGGCUAACUACGUGCCAGCAGCCGCGGUAAUACGUAGGUGGCAAGCGUUAUCCGGAAUUAUUGGGCGUAAAGCGCGCGUAGGCGGUUUUUUAAGUCUGAUGUGAAAGCCCACGGCUCAACCGUGGAGGGUCAUUGGAAACUGGAAAACUUGAGUGCAGAAGAGGAAAGUGGAAUUCCAUGUGUAGCGGUGAAAUGCGCAGAGAUAUGGAGAAACACCAGUGGCGAAGGCGACUUUCUGGUCUGUAACUGACGCUGAUGUGCGAAAGCGUGGGGAUCAAACAGG